rnacentral:rRNA from 1 species
GAUGAACGCUGACAGAAUGCUUAACACAUGCAAGUCUUUGGCGAAGCUGUGCUUGCACAGCCUAGCCAAGGCGGACGGGUGAGUAACGCGUAAGGAACUUGCCCGCCAGUCAGGAAUACCAGACGAAAACGACUGAUAGGACCGGGAAAGUUCAGGCGAACUCAUUUCCGGCCUGUGGAAAAGGGAUGCUGCAGGAGAGCCUUGCGUCCAAUUAGCUUGUUGUUGGGGUAACGGCCCACCAAGGCGAUGAUAGGUAGCCGGCCUGAGAGGGUGGACGGCCACAAGGGGACUGAGAUACGGCCCUUACUCCUACGGGAGGCAGCAGUGGGGAAUAUUGGACAAUGGGGGCAACCCUGAUCCAGCAAUUCUGUGUGCACGAUGAAGGUUUUCGGAUUGUAAAGUGCUUUCAGCAGGGAAGAAAAAAUGACGGUACCUGCAGAAGAAGCGACGGCUAAAUACGUG